UGGGGAAUAUUGGACAAUGGGGGCAACCCUGAUCCAGCAAUGCCGCGUGUGUGAAGAAGGUCUUCGGAUUGUAAAGCACUUUCGACGGGGACGAUGAUGACGGUACCCGUAGAAGAAGCCCCGGCUAACUUCGUGCCAGCAGCCGCGGUAAUACGAAGGGGGCUAGCGUUGCUCGGAAUGACUGGGCGUAAAGGGCGUGUAGGCGGUUUACACAGUCAGAUGUGAAAUCCCCGGGCUUAACCUGGGAGCUGCAUUUGAUACGUGUAGACUAGAGUGUGAGAGAGGGUUGUGGAAUUCCCAGUGUAGAGGUGAAAUUCGUAGAUAUUGGGAAGAACACCGGUGGCGAAGGCGGCAACCUGGCUCAUGACUGACGCUGAGGCGCGAAAGCGUGGGGAGCAAACAGGAUUAGAUACCCUGGUAGUCCACGCUGUAAACGAUGUGUGCUAGAUGUUGGGUAACUUUUGUUAUUCAGUGUCGCAGUUAACGCGUUUAAAGCACACCGCCUGGG
rnacentral:rRNA from 1 species